rnacentral:rRNA from 1 species
CGUGCCUAACACAUGGCAAGUCGAGCGGGGACAUGCGACGGAUAGGAAGUUUCGGAUGGACUUGAAGAUGCAUUGUCUAGCGGCGGACGGGUGAGUAACGCGUGAGCAACCUGUCCCUUACAGGGGGAUAACACAGCGAAAGUUGUACUAAUACCGCAUAAGACCACGGGAGGACAUCCUUCAGGGGUCAAAGGAGCAAUCCGGUAAGGGGUGGGCUCGCGUCCGAUUAGAUAGUUGGUGAGGUAACGGCCCACCAAGUCGACGAUCGGUAGCCGACCUGAGAGGGUGAUCGGCCACAUUGGGACUGAGACACGGCCCAAACUCCUACGGGAGGCAGCAGUGGGGAAUAUUGGGCAAUGGGGGGAAACCCUGACCCAGCAACGCCGCGUGAGGGAAGAAGGUUUUCGGAUCGUAAACCUCUGUCCUUGGUGAAGAGGAAGAGACGGUAGCCAAGGAGGAAGCCCCGGCUAACUACGUGCCAGCCGCUGC